rnacentral:lncRNA from 1 species
UGAGGUUCCCAGGCUAGGAGUUGAAUUGAAGCUGCAGCUGCUGGCCUACACUACAGCCACAGCAACGCGGGAUCUGAGCCUCAUCUGCUACCUACACCACAGCUCAUGACAAUGCCAGAUUCCAGACCCACUGAGCAAGGCAGGAUUAAACCUGCAUCCUCGUGGAUACCAGUCAGAUUCGUUCCUGCUGCAGCACAAUGGAACCCCCCCCCCCUUUUUCCCCUGUUUCUUUCUACUUUCUGACUAUCCUUGCUGAUGAGUUUAGCAUCCUUGGCUUGUGGCAACAUAAUUCCAAUCUCUGCCUCUACCUUCAUGUGGCCUUCUUCUUCCCUGUGUCUCUGAAUCUUUCUCUCCUUAUAAGGACACCAGUCCUUGGAUUUAGGGUCCAUCCUAACCCCAAAGGACCUCAUCGUAACAUGAUUAUAUUUGCAAAGACCCUAUUUCCAAAUAAGGUCACGUUUCCAGAUACAUGGGGUUAGGACUUCAACACCUUUUGAGGGGACACAAUCCAACCUACAACACAACUUAACCAGGUUGUGUGGAAGAAGUGAGACAACGUAAAUUGAAGGUAAUUUGCUAAGUGUAAAAGUCUUAUUCUUUCCACUUUUAAAGGUUUUAGCUCAAGGCACCAGGUUUAGGAAGGCGGCCUUUCAAAGUGUCACUUCUUGAGUUUGGAUGUUUGGUGACAGCUGUGGAACAGCAGCUUGAGUUUUGAAGCCAAGAAGGCAAAACCACGUGGAAGAAUCAUGGAGCCUCAUAAACCCCAAAUGCCUUAGGGCUGGUCUUGCUGACUGGAUGGCCUUGCAACUUGCCGACCUGGGCAGUCCAAGCCAGCAGGAGAGUCUACAACACCCCUGCUCGAAAGAGCUCUGAUUUUUGCCCCCGUCCCCCCUCUCAGAUGGAUACUUUUGUAAGCUACAAUAAAAAGGAGUGAUUAACAAAUAAUCAGGGCCAUGCCAAAUUACCAUCAAAGUUUCAAUUGCCACCUCAUCUCAUCAUGGGCUAGUAGUGAGCAGCUUCCGGGCUGGCCUCGGUCCUCGGACCACACUUUGAGAAGUGGUGUUCAGCCACGGCCAAGGCCAAUGCAGACCCAGGGGCCGCACCCAAGCACAGUCCUGCUUCCAGGCCUCCAAGGGGUGGGGAGGGGGGAGUUAGGGUAAAGAAUUCCAGCCUCCAGCCCCAUUCCAGGGGGCAUGCCUGGCUGGGGAAGGCAAACACACCUCCCACACCUGAGUCUCCGUGUUCUCCUUGAGUUUGUUUUCCCACUGACUUACUUUCCUUUCAGUCUGGGCUUUACAAACAGCCCUCUGAGUGAAUGCAGGCGAUCCCAGCAGUCCCCACACCACGGCUCAUAUGGAAUGCAUUUAGAGACGGGAAAAAACUCGAACGGAGUGGUUAUACGAUUUUGAACUGGCUUGGACAUGGCGUGGCUGGAAUUUCAGAGCUGGCUUUUGUUUGCCUUCGUCAUGAAACAUUUGUUAUAUGAGCCGCUGCUACUGCUACUAAAGCAGCUGCUGCCGAGAAAGCCUCUCAGGGGCUGCUUUUUCCCCUGGUCCUGGGUGGACGGAGUUCACGGAUCGCAGCCCUCGACUCUCCAGGCUUGAGAUAACCUUUGUCAGGAUUCCUCUGACCAUGAGACGGUCUCCUCUUUUUUGUCUUUUUAGGGCCGCACCCAUGGCAUAUGGAGGUUCCCAGGUUAGGGGUCUAAUCGGAGCUGUAGCCUCUGGCCUUCGCCACAGCCACCGCAAGGCGGGAUCUGAGCCACAUCUGCGACCCACAGCUCACGGCAACACUGGAUAUUUAACCCACUGAGUGGGGUCAGGGAUUGAACCUGUGUCCUCAUGGAUACUAGUUGGGUUCAUUACCACUGAGCCAUAACAGGACUCCCAUGGGAGUGCCUUUUUACCGGUUCUUGUAAUUUAUAUUCUCUCCCAUCAAAUAAAUCUCCAAUAUGGCCCUGAUCUGUGUUCCAGGUAAUUUUUAAAAAUGUAGUAAUUUGGAGCCCCAUCAUAGCAAAUAUGAGUCAGAAAAAACCCUAAGGGGUUUAACUAAUAAAUUACCAUUAGGGGACCUUGUUUUUGUUUGUUGUGCUUUCAAAAUUUCAUCAGUACUGCAAUCCCAAGAUACUGAUGCAGAGGGCAGUGCUAUGCGAGCCCGAGUCACAUCACAGCUCUGCAGAUGUCCCUCGAAAGAAACAUGUACAACAGGGAGUUCCCACUGUGGCGCAGUGGAAACAAAUCUGACUAGUGUCUAUGAGGAUGGGAGUUCGAUCCCUGGCCCCGCUCAGAAGGUUAAGCCUCUGGCAUUGUCGUGAGCUGUGGUGUAGAUCAAAGAUGCAGCUCAGAUCUGGCUGUAGCUCCGAUCUGAACCCUAGCCUGGGAGUUGCCAUAUGCUGUGGGUGCGGCCUUAAAAAAAAAAAAAAAAGAAAGAAAAGAAAAGAAACAUGUAUAAGAGACCCAGAUAGGAGCUAUAAAAACAAAACUAGUGUAGAGCCUCAAAGGUCAGGUAGUUAGGACAUUCUCAGCCAAAUGCAGGGGGCUGAUGACAUAAUUUUAAUACCUCCGCUUCGAAAACCUCACUAAAAUGACAGCACAGGAUAAUGAGUUUAUCAAAAGAUUGCAAGAUCACAAGGAUGAAGAACUGGAGAAGGAUGUCAAUGGAAGAAAGACCUCCACUAAUAUCUGGAAGAUGGAAAGCAGUUGGAGGAGUGCCCUGGGUGUGGCAGAGGGGGGACAUACAUCAGUGUCAGCUCAGCAUGCAGGUAGUGGCACCAGGUAGCCCAGGUGGGAAAGCUGGGCACAAGGCAGGUGGUCUGAGGGUCAAGCAGUUGGGCUCCAUAUCUGCAUACAGCCAAGUAUCCCGCAAAGCCUCUUUCCCCAUCUCCACUGCCUAGAGGCAGACGAUCUAAGCAUUUGGGCAGCGGCUCCCGACUGAUUGGCUAACCCUGAGGAGAGAAAGGAGAGCAUAGGCUCCAAUGAGAACAAAGAAGUGAGUGGUACCCCAAUGCAGACCUUUGGCUCCGGGUCCCACACCAGCAAUCAGACAUGUGUCCUGCGCCUCCACCCCCACCUCACUGCCCAUCCCCCAAGCAGACAUUUGGAGAAUUCUUCAGUGGGGAAAUGGAAUCAACUCCAGAGACAAAAGAAGACCUGAAAUCACUAGCAAAUGUUCCUUGAAACUCCUAUUGCUGUUUGAUCAUUCCAAGCGCAUCCAUGCGCUGAUAAGCCUCCCCUCCUGCACAGUACUUUCAAGGAGCUCUUUAGUGUCUCAUCCUCAAAGAGGAGUUCUGACAAAAAUCACCAGAGGAGAAACUUUGGAUUGAAAACGAGGCCCAAACCAAUGAAAACCAUUAAAAAGAGCCUGGAGUAAACAGAGAAAACGUUAGAUGAAAAUACUUAAAAAAAAAAAACACUGUGUAGUUUUCAGAGAUUUAAGGUGAGGUUGUAUGCAAUAAACAAGAACAUGAUUAUUAUGCAAAAAGAAAAAAUGAAGAUUAAAAAAAAAGAGUACUUGAAUUGAAGGAAUACAAAUUGAGGAAUUCAUCCAGAGAGAAAAAGUUGAAGAAAUGGACAUUAAGAGAGGAAAAGCUAAUAAAGCACACACAGAGGAUGCAUCUAGGGGUUGAAACAUCUGACCAACAGCAUUCCAGAAACGAAGGAGAGAAAACGGGGGUGAUAACAUUAUGAAAGAAGGGUCAUAAGAAAAAUACCCAGAAAUCCAAAACAUGAGUUUUCAGUUUAAACAUAUCUAUUAAAUACACAGCACACCGAGGCAUGUGGCUGUAAAUUUUCCUUAAAGGAGUAAGAGGAAGGCUCUCGAGAGGGAACGACGAAGUCAGAGAAAACAAAGGGGGAGAUGGAAUGCAGGUAUGAAGACUGGGCAUGGGUGUGAAGAAAUCCAUCCCCAGCCAAACAGGCCAUCACAGGAGCGAGAAGAACACUGAGCUCUUCAGACAUGCAACGACUCCAAGAAUUUACCCGUGUACCUUUUAUCAAGAAGCACCUUGAGAGUAUCUUGGAGUAAAAUGAGUUAUUAAGUCCAGAAAUAAAAUAUGAGGGAUUCAGGAGACCGGGGGUACAAAACAUUCCAUAAAAUGGUAAAGGGAAGUUGCUGUGCAGGGAGCCUCUGAGCCACUGGCUCACACUGAAGCAGGAAAUUAGAGCUCUGGGUGGGGAGGAGGGGAGUGGUCCUGGGAUGAGGUGGGGUGGGAAACAGAAUGGAUAUACUUAUCUGAUAACAACAGUGAAAAGACAGCAAAAAAGUAAUACUGACACAGCAGAGCUCAUGGCACAUAGGAAAAUCGAUAGGUAUAAAUAGAUCUAAACAAAUCAAAAAACACCAAGGCGAUAAUCAAUUCAAGGGAAAGCCAUAAGUUACACAAGAAAUGAAACAAGAUGGGGUGUACCACUUGGAUCAGCAUUAAGUAAGUCUACGUAGUCACAGUCACGUAAACAGGAACUAUGGAUUUAAAUGGGGAUACAGCCACAUUAGUAAGAGGCGGGGGCAGGGGCGGGGCGGGAAGAAGAGAUCAGAGUGGUGGAAUGAGAGAACUAUACAGCGCUUCAAAGAAACAAAUCAAGACAACAAAACAAUAAAAGUACAACAAGCCUGUGCUUUACUAGUUAUAAUUCGUGCGGUGAUGAGCAGAAGAAAACAGCUAAGUCUGUUCAGAGUGUUUGCCUCUGCACAACGACUUUGUGAUGGAGAAGGAUGCAAUAGGAAACGACUGCUUUUCAUUCUAUGUCCUUGGU